AACAAAAUACUCUCUGGUACAUCUUGAAAUGAGCAGUUGGGACAACUAUAUGCAUGCUGUUGGAUAUAUAUUUAAAGGCCUGUCUGAAAAACCUGAAGUUGAAGUACACUUGAAACAUUAUUACAUAGGUGAUGAUAUAAGCAUACGCUGUGGAGCAAAAAGAGGAAUCCGCUGCCAUUUCUACAUGGAUGGGAGUGCGGUCCCUUUCAGAUCAGUGCCAUACAGACAACAGUAUGGGCAGUGUCACCUCUCUCUGUCUGUUGAGGAGCUGGUGGAGGACAGGGACUUUGGGGAUAGUACUGAGGUGUCUCUGAGCUGUUCUGUGGAAUUCAAAAUGGAUGGACAGCUGAAAAGUUCACAGCGCAGCAAAGCUGAAAAAGUGACAGUGUUUGACACGUUCAGUAAAUAUGGAAGACCUCAUAUUCAAGUGGACCAUAAAGUGAUAAAGGACGAACGUUCUGUUCAAGUACUCUGUCACUCCGAGACUGGAAUACGCUGUUUCUUCUACAGUGGCCAAGCUAAACAACCUUUUUCAUCAAUAAUAUACAGCAAGGAAUCUAAAACCUGUCAGCUCACUGUGCCAGAGAAGACAUUACUGACAAGGACAGAGGACAGGAUGAGUCCUGAGAUCCUGUUCAGUUGCAGUGUGGAACUGAAUUUAGAGGGAAGAGCAGUGACCUCACGACGCAGCAAGAAUAUCAAAGUGGACAUAAAUUGGAACAGUGCAGGUUUGUCACAGUACUGUAACUUUGUUUACCCCUUUAAAUCUUAAGAAAAGUACAGUAUUUUCAAUUUGAGUUUAGAACUCCAAAAUAAAGGCCUGUAGGCUAU
rnacentral:lncRNA from 1 species